CCAAUUUCAGCCCUGCUGCCGGCUCCCGGGCAGGAAUGACCUGCUCGGCUAUUACUGCUCUCCAUAUCCUGGUGAAAGGCAGGUAAUGGCAGUAAAUUCCCCAGGGGCUGAGCUCCUGCCAUAGGUUCCUGGCCUAACACUCCUGUAGCAGGCACAUCAUACAAGAUUGUUUCACCAGGACUUGUGAGCUGUCCUCUGCACUACUGGCGACACUUGUGGAAAACUGCUUCAAUAUCAACUCAGUAUCACAUGGCUUCCUAUGUUUUCAUAAAUGUUUCCACUUCUGAUUUGGUCAUUUAUAGCAGAUGCCAUCUCAUGUCCUUUAUGCAAUGGCCAAAACAUAAGACAUAUCCUGGGUAUUAGUGGUGGGAAGCACCAGACCACAGCCUACCCAGCCCGGCUCUGUGACAUGGCUGUGCCUACUCUCCCUGUGUAAGAUGGGAUAGUAAUGGGUGGAUUAAAAAGCUUUCAGAGUCUAUCAGCUGCCAUUCAAUUCCCAUGAUUAAUGAGAGAGAAGUGGGUCAGAAACACAGAACAGAGGCUGGAGAGGUCCCCUGGAAUCACACCAGAUGUACCAGUGGUCUUCUGCUGCAGUUGGCUUGUGUGGGGUCAGUUCUGAGAGGCAGCAGGCAGGCAGCUGAGGGAAGGGCUCUUGCAUGAGAGGCUGAGGCUGGGUGAAGUAUCCAGAACAACUGUGGGAGAUAUGUUCUGUGUACAACCCUGAGAAUAUUUUCUGUAUGGCUUUGUCACCUAUGUGGUUAGUCAGUCCCGUCCAGGCUUUUUGCAAAAAAAAAAAGAAAAGUGAAGAGAAAAGAGAAAAAUAGCUCCUUGUUUUUAAUGGUAAUGUUUAAAAAUAAUAUAAAACUCUCCUCAGUGGCCAAACCACAGAAAUUGCCAUGCAGAUCCAAGAGCAGGUGUGCCUCCUGGAGCUACUGGAACAGCAUCAGAAACCUGCUAGAUCCCCAGUAAAAAGUGUCCUCUUAAUUCUGGGUCAAAUUCUGCUCCAAAUGUGGUUGAGAGCAAAACUCCUAUUUACUUUAAUACUUGCUGCCUUUCAUCUGUUGUUUUUGGAAUAAACUGGGAUCAGACCUGAGAAGUGCACACAACUAGUGUCUGUUAGGGCAGAAGGAAGCUAGUGAUGCUGGGAGAGGUUUGAGAAUGGAGAGGCUGGUAUGUCCCUGUUCUUGGGAGGAGACCUUUCACAGGUGUAACACAGCAAAGAAUAUUCCUGGUCUUUCCGCAGGAAACUCAAGUUAUAGCCUUCCAUUUUCACUUCAUAUUUUCCUUAAUUUCACCCACAGGCUGCUUUGGAUAUCUGCAGCCAAAUGCUUGUGUGGCACUGGGCUCAGACGGUCAUUUCCACGGGGCUUUUGUGUUGCUCCCUCCUGCCAAAGCAGUGGCUCUGGGGGAGCCAUCCCUGUAUGUGCUGUUGUCAGUGUGAUUAACCCAGCAAAACAGCCUGGCCUCAGCUAUUGAGCUGUCCCCCAGUGCCUGAGUAGGUGCUUCUGCUUCAUUGGCUUCAUGGAGCUUCAUGGACUUCAGGCUUCACUCAAUAAAAAGUAUCUACCUUCUUCAGCCUGGGACAUGAAGGAUUUCAGUCAUUUUUUUUGCUGUGGAAGUCAUCCCAUUCCUUCAAGAACAGCAGGCUGACUGGAUAUUUUCUUGCAUUGUGAUGGAAAUAAGGAAAUAAAGAAGUUAAGUUGUGUGCA